UCGGUUUUCAUGCGCCCCGUAUCCUCCACUCCAUACAAUGACUAACUUCUUUAAUUGAGGGAAACUCUCAAGUAGGCCUACUAAUAGUUUGUAGUCACUGAAACAAAAUCUGAGUUCUAAGGACUUGACAUUAGGAUAAGAGGAAUUNCCCGUAUCCUCCACUACAUACAAUGACUAACUUCUUUAAUUGAGGGAAACUCUCAAGUAGGCCUACUAAUAGUUUAGUAGUCACUGAACAAAAUCUGAGUUCUAAGGACUUGACAUUAGGAUAAGAGGAAUUCAUGCAUCUCUUUAUCAUAGCUCCAAGCACCUAAUGUAACAUAAGUUCAUAAAAUAAUCA
rnacentral:lncRNA from 1 species